GCAGGGAGGAGAUCCCUGGGCUGACAUCUGCUGACUUGGUCAUCCCUGUUCUCCUUCCCUGUCC
rnacentral:miRNA from 1 species